GGCAGGUAUUGGACAAUCGCUCUGAUAAUAUCAGAGAGGAAAGUCCGAACACAGCGCAAGCCCAAAAGGCUGGGAAUGGUAGCGGGUAACGCCCGCAUGUAGCAAUACAUAGGUGCGAGCAGAGACGCCGACGCCGAAAGGCUAGGAUUCCGCAAGGAAUAAUCUGAUAGAAAUAUCAGGGUGAAACGGCUAAAUCCUUACCUCUGUGCAAGAUCGUGUCUCUUCGCAAGAAGAGAAGAAUCGCUUGAGCUUGGGAGCAAUCCCUGGCCUAGAUAAAUGAUUGUCAUCCUGAUUUCGGUCAGGACACAGAAUUCGGCUUAUAGAUACCUGCACAAA
rnacentral:RNase_P_RNA from 1 species